rnacentral:rRNA from 1 species
UACGGAGGAUGCGAGCGUUAUCCGGAUUUAUUGGGUUCAAAGGGUGCGUAGGCGGACUGUCAAGUCAGCGGUAAAAUUGAGAGGCUCAACCUCUUCCCGCCGUUGAAACUGGUGGUCUUGAGUGGAUGAGAAGUACGCGGAAUGCGUGGUGUAGCGGUGAAAUGCAUAGAUAUCACGCAGAACCCCGAUUGCGAAGGCAGCGUACCGGCAUCCAACUGACGCUGAGGCACGAAAGCGUGGGGAGCAAACAGG